GUGAGGAAAUAUAAAUGAUAUUGUUACAAAAAAUUAAUUAUUUGUAUAUGUCGCAGAAUCACAAUUAUGCUACUGACUCGAAGUCACUUCCCAAUGGGGUGGAUGUAAAACAUGUUAAUCUGUAUGAUGGAAGUUGUGUGGGUCUUUCCUUCCAUCAACAGAAGUCAUGUUUCUUCAUUACCACCAGAAAGCCUCUCAUAGGCCUCAUGAUUUAGAUCUUGGGAACUUCUGAAGCAGAGGAAGGUCAGAGCCAACAUAGAACAAAGAAGCGAAGUUCAUACAUAUUUAGCUUAAUGGCUGAGUUCACCAGAUGGUUAUAGAUUUAUAGUCGAAAGUUAAAUUGUGCAGGCAGGUUUGGCAAUACUCAUUGGACUUGCUGGGAAGACCAAUGUCCAGACAAGGAGAAGAGCAGAGAAAUUGGAUGUUCUGUCAAAUGAAGCUUUUGUGAAGGCUUUGGUCAGCAGUGGCAGAACGACGAGUCGUCAUCAAUGAUGAAUACAUUAUCGACCAUACAUGUGCCGCCGAACAAGGCAUCCACUUCCCAUGGACGACAAUUUUUGGUGUCGGGCGUGUGACGCUGGUGUAACCUUCCCAUCAACAAGGUAUAACAUUCUUCUCCAAGAUGUGCUCCACUAUUCAAAGCUGUUAUAAGGAGCUUUCAAAGCAGGUCAAGGCUAAGCUCGAGAAGGUUGAUGACUCCUUCAACAAGUUGGCUGAUGUCAUGGUCACUUGGAUUGAAGCAUGAGACUCGAAUGGGUUAAACGUCGCCCUAAGUGUACAUGAAUCCUCGAA